rnacentral:tRNA from 1 species
GGAGGGGUGCGGGAGUGGUUUAACCGGCUGGUCUUGAAAACCAUGCGAGAGUUAUAUCUCACGAGAGUUCGAAUCUCUCCCCCUCCG